AGGGGCAGUAUAUAAUAUGCUUUGGGGCAUAUAAUUCCAGUGUCUAAAGCAAGGGAGGGAGUUUGGCCCUGUGUGGUGCAGGAAGAGGAGUUCCUGGUGGCAGACUGAAAAUGGAGCAGGAAGUGGAUGGAAGAAAAAUGAUUAUGAGAGAGAGAAAGGACCAAAGAGAGAAAGGAGGACCAAACACUGGGGAAACUGAGAAAACAACAAAGAACAUCAAUGAAACGUAAUAUAUGAAGCACAAAAGAGAGGACACUGCGUUUGUGGAAAGAGAACUGAAGCACGGUGUUCCCAAUGACUGAAUGGAUACAUGAAUAAUAAAUGAGUUGCAAACAAUACUGUAUAAUCACUCUAAGGACUUUUUAUCACAUCUAAGAUUAGAAUGACAUUAUGAAGUCUAAAUGGCAACACUGGCAUGCACAUUGACAUUUGGCACUGGAGUGAAAUGCUUAAAGCUAAAAGUUGAACAUUGUGCACACUCCAAAAUACACAUGA